AAUGUCCUCAAGUUUACUACAAACAUUAGAGUCACUGACUAACUGAUCGGAUUUCGGCAGUCAAAGAUCCUGGUGGCCUGUUUGGCGGAGUCAUACAAUCGCAGUGCGGUAACUCCAGUUUGUUUUUUCCAGGUGGCGGCUAAAGCUCUGGAGGCAGCGGUUUACGGAGCAUACUACAACGUGAUGAUCAACCUCCGUGACAUCACAGAUGACGCCUUCACCGCAGCUACUCAGCAGAGAGCUUCCACGUUACUGCAGGACGCCAAGGACGCCGCCACCGCCAUCCUCGCUGCAGCUGACCAGAGGAAGUGAAGACGUCAGAUCUGAGAGGACACCGCCGCUGCCACGUCUAUAAAAUCCAUACUGAUUUGAUCUAAACUUAUUUGUUAGCUGUUGGUUACUGACUAACUAAGUACAUUUACUCAACUUCAACUGAGAGGUACUUCAGUUAUUACUUCAAUUAUUAUUUCACUACAAUUCAGAGGGAAAUACUGUACCACAGUAAUCUGACUGGAGUAUUUGGAUUACUCAGACUGGAUUAGUUACAUUAGUCUGACUGGAGUAGUUACAUUAGUUACAUUACUCUGACUGGAGUAGUUACAUUAGUUACAUUACUCUGACUGGAGUAGUUACUGACUUAUUUUUACGUCUGAGUCAUGUGACAUGACGUCGUCUCUCAGUUGUAACAGAUUCAUCAAAUAAAAACAUUUAAAUAAAUAAUAAAUCUUCAACAUCACAGUUACUUCCAUUAACUCAAACAUCAAAUAAAUACAUGUGUAAAAAUGUU